AUUGAACGCUGGCGGCAUGCCUUACACAUGCAAGUCGAACGGUAACGCGGGGCAACCUGGCGACGAGUGGCGAACGGGUGAGUAAUGUAUCGGAACGUGCCCAGUUGUGGGGGAUAACUGCUCGAAAGAGCAGCUAGUACCGCAUACGACCUGAGGGAGAAAGCGGGGGAUCGCAAGACCUCGCGCAAUUGGAGCGGCCGAUAUCAGAUUAGGUAGUUGGUGGGGUAAAGGCCCACCAAGCCAACGAUCUGUAGCUGGUCUGAGAGGACGACCAGCCACACUGGGACUGAGACACGGCCCAGACUCCUACGGGAGGCAGCAGUGGGGAAUUUUGGACAAUGGACGCAAGUCUGAUCCAGCCAUGCCGCGUGCGGGAAGAAGGCCUUCGGGUUGUAAACCGCUUUUGUCAGGGAAGAAAAGGGCGACUCUAAUACAGUUGCCUCAUGACGGUACCUGAAGAAUAAGCACCGGCUAACUACGUGCCAGCCGCCGCCGUAAAAC
rnacentral:rRNA from 1 species